rnacentral:rRNA from 1 species
UACGGAGGGUGCGAGCGUUGUCCGGAAUCAUUGGGCGUAAAGGGCGCGUAGGUGGCCCAGCAAGCGUGCGGUGAAAGCUCGGGGCUCAACCCCGGGUCGGCCGUGCGAACUGCGGGGCUGGAGCACUGUAGAGGCAGGCGGAAUUCCUGGUGUAGCGGUGAAAUGCGCAGAUAUCAGGAGGAACACCGGUGGCGAAGGCGGGUCUCUGGGCCGAUACUGACGCUGAGGAGCGAAAGCGUGGGGAGCGAACAGG